GAACCCUCCAAUCAAUCAUAUUUCAACCAGUCAAAACCUAUUGUUCGUAGAGUUGAGUACCAGUAUACGGGUUCCAGUACUAGUACGCCAAUCAUUUCGUACUUGAUUCCGUCCUUCGACGGCUAUGAUUUCUUGCGCCCUUUUUAUCUCAUCUAGGUCAUUAAUUAGGACAAUAAUAGCUGUCGUCAUUUCACCAUCGUAGCCUAUUUCGAAAUUCCCUCCGACUGCUUCGUCUUUCUCAUGCCCUAUCGUCUUCUCAUAUUUUACUUUUCUUCAUUCUCAGGAUCUUCUUCUUCGAUCCCUCUUCUUCUUCCUCAAAAUUUUCUUUAUUGGCUUCUUUUCUCAGGAUCCUUUCUCUUCUAAUGGCUCAGAUUCCUCCUCUUCUUUCAUCUUGUGAAGC
rnacentral:lncRNA from 1 species